CUUAUGGGGAGGGCUGUGACAGAGAAUCUCCUUCAGAAACUGCUCCAGCUUGCAGCUAGUUUGGGGUUUUCCAAACCCGACUCCCCUCUGCUGGAGGGUGGCAACAGUCUUCUCAUUUCCAGCCUCAGCUGAUCCCUGUUAGGAUUCCAGAGGAGGCCUGGUCCACAGCAUUAAAAUGUCUCAAUAGCUCCUGGAAAUACGUGGCUUGGUACGUCAGCUGAGCAUCACCUGACAAUGCCAAGAGGAGGAUGCCCCUGUGGACUCUAAAAAGGGAAAAAUGACUCUUUGAUAAGGAAGCCACAAGAGCGGUCAUGCAACCUUCCCCAGCAGUAUGUUUUGGUGUCCAGGGCAACCGACAGAGAGGUAUCCUUGCGGGGGUGGAGAGGCCAGCUGAAGACCAAAUGAUGGGGGGGGGUCUCCCAGGGGUUUCCUGUCAUGUGCUGCAGUUGGUUCGUGAAUUGGAAGUCAAAUAUAGUGCGAGUUCAAAACACCCAAUUGACUCUGCUUUAAAAGGAGGCACUCAGCACUUCAAAUUGGGUCCCUAGUGAAUGGACACAAGUUGAUGAACAUCAUCAUCAUCUUACAUCUUUUGAUCACAUACCAUGGUAUCAGUGCGUCCAAUGACUUCAAAGGAAUAGUCCACACCACUGC